rnacentral:snoRNA from 1 species
CUGCAUGUUUAUCCAAGAGCUGUGGCUCCAGACAGUAGCUGCAGGUCUCCAACAACAUGCCAGAGCAACGGGAAGGUCUUUGACUGCAGGGCCCCUUCUGCCCGUGGCAGUCACUCGCCCCUCCUAUAUGU